rnacentral:antisense_RNA from 1 species
UCCUAUGGUCGGGCGCAAUGGGAGCGCGCAAGCGCUGCCGGUUCCGUAAGGCCGGUUCGCCAACCUGUUGUUAGCCCGGCCACCCUU